CCCCUUCCGUAGGUGCACCUGCGGAAGGAUCAUUAGUGAAAUAGAAAAUUUAAUUUUCUAGUCAACUAUUCCUCCCUUUUGUCAACUAUACCAUUGUUGCUUCCACUGGACAGAGUUCGGUCCUCUGCCUCACCGCAAGGUGAAGCUGGGGAGUGCUGGUGGAAAGAAUUUAAACUUGUCUUUAGAAAAACUUGUCUGACAAACUUAUUUUUUAAUAAAAUAAAACUUUCAACAACGGAUCUCUAGGCUCUUGCAUCGAUGAAGAUCGCAGUGAAAUGCGAUAAGUAAUGUGAAUUGCAGAAUUUCGUGAAUCAUUGAAUCUUUGAACGCACAUUGCGCCCUAUGGUAUUCCGUAGGGCAUGCCCGUCUGAGCGUCAGCUGGUCUUCUCAAGCUCUUUUGCUUGGAUAACAUUGGAGAAGCAAUACACGGUCCAUUUGGACUCUGUGUGCUCUCCAGAAAUUCAUAGGCGGUACGGUUCUAGCAAACCAGACGUAAUAAUUCUUUAUCUCGUCCUUUGUUUUGGAGCUGGGCUUGCCUCUUAAUCCCACAUCUUUCAAGAGACCUCAGAUCAGGUAGGAACCCCAGU
rnacentral:rRNA from 1 species